ACGUAGCCUCCUCUUCAUUUCGGCAAACACUCUUAAAUACGCGGGCACAUAGCACAUGGUCCUCCAUGUGUUCUCUGUCCUGGGCUCUGAAAAUAUUACGGGUGGGUCUGGACUUGAGAGUCCCCUCUCGUUUCACCGCACUCACAGCCUGGCCUGCUAUUCGGACUUCGUCAUUGCCUCCCUACCACCGGGAUGUUUUCCAGGACCCUUUCUUAGGGGGUGGCAGUGGGAGCAGGAGGCGGGGCACAGUCUUCAGAAUCCAGAUCAUUUGUUUCCUGUCACGUACACCCUGUCCCCAAGAAAGUACAGAUGGAAAAACCAAAGCCUCUUCUCUAGACCUGUGCAGAAGGCUGCUGGAGCCACAGCAGACGCAUGGGGUGGUUUCCAUCUAAAUCGAAAUGAUUUAAGCAUUAAAGGAAAUUAAAAUAUAACUUUCUUGGUCACGUCGCCACAUCUCAAGUGAGCCACAGUCACACAGGGAUGGUGGCUACCAAAUUAGAGAUAAAGCAUAUUUCUAUCAUCACAGAAAGUUCUCUUGGAUGGUGUUGGGUCAUAAAUCCGGUUUAAACCAUCUGGGGGUGCUGUGGAUAUGUUCUCCCUCAAUUCUUUCCCCACAAGUAUCACCAGAGAUGAGUUAGAUGUCCUGUUCUCCCGCUGGAGCACACACAAUGUUUGCUUUGCCCAAACAAGCACAUCACAGAAGAAAAUGCAGCUAGUGAAAAAUGCCAGCACAUCUGGGAACUCCAGAUACUUUACCACCAAAAUUAAAAAAUGGAAAAAAAAAAAAAAAACCAAAACACCCCGAUGAUCGCUUUGGGAACACAGAUAAGAGCUAAUUAUAAAAAAGCAGGUUAGAGUUCCCUGAUGGCCUAGAGGGUUAAGGAUCAGGCAUGGUCACUGCUGCGGCUUGGCUUCCAUCCCUGGCCUGGGAACUUCUGUGUGCCGUGAGUGUGGCCAAAAAAAAUUAAUAAAUGCAAAGACUCACGAGCCUCUGCUCGGGAUAGAUUUUUUCAAGUGGGUCUUCUAAAUCUAUUUUGGGGUCAAACAGGGUGUCCCACUGUGAUUCAAGGAGGGGAGUGAUGCUGCGAUUCUUUCGCUAAUCCUCUUUCUGACAUGGCACCAGGUAAGUUCAUGAAAUAUUUCUGUUUAAGCCCACAGUCCCAUACAGGACGGGGUGCUAGGAAAAAACAUCUGGUCACACGUCCUACGCAGCUAAAGGGAAGCUACGCAGCACUAAAGGGCCUUUGUUCCCCUGAGGGAGUUUCCUUUGCCAGAAUGCAGCGUUAAAUACUGUUGGCUGGAACUGGUUUGGUCCUACUCAGCUUUCAUAGAAAUUAUUUCCUAUCAUUUCCAUUCCUGAAAAAGUCUUCAAAUCUAUGACAUUAUAAAACCUUAGAACUGUAAGUGCUUCUAGACAUUAUAAAUUGAGGUCCAGAGAGUGGAUGGCGUUUGUGCAAACUGAAGAGAGUCAGAAAAAGAAAUCAGGUCCUUUCAGCCUGGGUUCAGUGCACCUCUCCAUGCCAUUUAGGGGAGGAAGAGCUGGCAAACAAAGCCCAGAGAGGCAAGUCAAGACAGUAUAUGCGGUCAUGUAAAGAAAGAGUGUUUCAAGAAGAGGCGCUGGUCAAUUGCAUCAGAUACAACGGGAGCAAAUCAAGGAAGGUGAGAGAUGGCAACUGUCCAUCGAAUUCAGCCACAUGGACAUUGUCCUUGGGUGCCCCUUGCCAAAGGAACUUUCAGGAGAGUGGCAGAGGCAACAUUCAGCUUACAGUGGCUGAAGAGUGAAGGGGAGUCCCAUUUAGAGAUGACAGAUGGAGCUCUUUUGUUUAUCUUCAAGCCCUAGUGAAAUUCCACUAAAACAAUUUAAGGCAAAAAAGAAUAAAUCAACACGGCAAAGAGAACAUGAGACAGCCUCAUGGCAGAGAGCUUCCAAUGGUGAUGAUGACUCCCUGCAGAGGGCAUAAGGCACAUGAAAGGCCAGUGACAAAGCCAGGCCAGUGCAAACGCCUCCUGGAGUCUACAAACAAGGGGAUUUGGAGAUGCCAGGGGGCAAGAGAGAAAAGUGACACUGACCAAGUGGAGAGGACGAUGGUCUGAAAGCCGGCACGGAGAGAAGUCGGACCGCAGCACUGCAAGACACUGGCCUCUGUUUCUGGGGAGGAAAACCCUCCUUACAGAAAAUGAAAGGGUGGCGUUCCCGAAGUGGCGCAGUGGGUUAAGAAUCCAACUGCAGUGGCUUGGGUCGCUGCAAAGGUUCGGGUUCCAUCCACAGCCUGGGGCAGGGGGUUAAAGGAUCUGGUGUGGCUGCAGCUGUGGCGUAGGUUGCAGCGGCACCUUGGAUUCAAUCCCUGACCUGGGAACUUCUGCAUGUCGUGGAUGCAGCCGUAAAAAUAAAAAGAAACAGUUUGAGAGCUUCUGAUUUCAGGGAUAUGUCAAGCUAGGUUAAUUGGGCCGAUUCAUGUUUGAAAAACAACCAGGGAACUUAGAUAAAAAAUAUAUUUAAAAAAACGUUGGAGUUCCUGUUAUAGCACAGUGGAAACGAAUCUGACUAGUAUCCAUGUGAAUGUGGGUUUGAUCCCUGGCCUCGAUCAGUGGGUCGGGGAGCCGUGAGCUGUGGUGUGGGUUGCAGACGUGGAUUGGAUCUGGCGUUGCUGUGGCUGUGAUGUAGGCUGGCAGCUGUAGCUCUGAUUCAACCCCUGGCCUGGGAAUCUCCAUAUGCCACAGGUGUGGCCCUAAAAUCAAAAGAAAACAAAACAAAACAAAAAACAAAAAAAGGAAAGAAAGAAAGAAAAAUCUCUUUUUUUCCUCCUAUGGCCACAGUUUUUGUUUGUUUUGUUUUGUUUUGUUUUUGUUUUUUGUUUUUUAACACUGCAGCUUAGGCAACACCCAAUCCUUAAGCCACUGAGUGAGGCCAGGGAUCGAACAUGCAUCCUCACCCUAAUCCGCUGAGCCACAACAGGAACUCCUAUGUAAAAUCUAAUGAAACAUGAAAACUCAGCACGAUGAAAGGAAUGAAAGCUUUGCUCUGAGGGUAUUUACUGAUUCUGGCAAACUUGAACUUAGGGUUUGACAGCUUCGUGGAGAAAGGGGGACAGAACCCAAAGACCAAGAGUGGACCAUGGUGAGAAGUCUCAUAGGCAACGUUCUUCACAAUAAACCAAGACCCCGGAGGACUGUAACUUCGAUGUAAGGAUAAAACAGAAUUAAACCUGCCCCUUUCCUAGGUGACUGCAAGGAAAGUUACCUUGGCAUUGAGCAGAGCAGGGGGAAAGCACUUGAGGAGCUGUGAUCACGAGGUGGCCCUGCUGUGGAUCUGAAAGCCAAAUUUGCAACAGCUGUUUAGUUCAUAAGACUCCAAAUCUGAAUUUAGUUUAAGCAUUUCUUUCUGGUACAGGGUAUCGAAAAAAUUAGGAGAUUUUAAAAGCAAAUAUAAUGUCUAGAAAUUUAAAAAUACAUUAAUAAAUUAGAGCUAAAGGAAGAGUUAGUACAUAUCCAGAAUGGAGACCAGGAAGACGGAAAGGAUGGAAAAUAUGGAAAUGAGGCCAAGUGGCAUUAAUAAUAGAGGGAGAAGGUCUAACAUGUUUACUUGGCAUUCAAGAAGGAGAGGAGAGUGAGAGGGAAUUGGGCAACUGGCAAUAUUUGAUGAGGAAUUUUCCAGAAAUAUUAAAAGAUAAUAACCUAUAGAUUCAAGAAGGCUGGUGACGUCCAAGAAGAAGAGAUGAAAAUAAAUCUAACUUUUACACAUUAUGGGGAAACCGAAGUACUCAGAAACAUAACAGAAAAAAACCUCAAAGCAAAAGCAAAGAAGAAACAAAGAGGUUAUUUCAAAGAGUGCCAGUUAUAUUGAUAGCUGAUUUCUUAAUAGCAGAUUUAAAACACGAGGCAGUGAAAUGUCAUUCUUAAUGUGUUUAGAGUAAACGACCGCCCAUUCAACAAAAUUAUAUCUUAUGAAUCAGGCUAAAAAGACAAAACGAAGGGAAUAUAUCACAGGUGAUACUCAAGAAAGAAAAUUCUAAAGGACGUACUUUGGGCAGAAGGAUAGAAAACUGAGAAUGAAAAUCUGACUGGUUAGGAGGCAUGAAGAAUAAGGACGUAUUAAAUUUGUGGGUAAAACUAAAGGACUACCUACUAAGGGGAAUGAUAGUAAUAUCUUCCGAGGUUUGAGAUAAAAGUACAAAUGAAAACAGUGAUAUAUACAUACGUCUGGGAAGUGGGUAAAGGUAUUGAUUAAUUCUGGACUUCAUAAAUAAGCCACAAAUCUAGGUUACAGUGGGAGAUGAUAACUUUCAAACUGGGACAGGGAAUAAAAUGGAAUGACUAAAAAAGUGUUCAAUGAACCCAGGGCUGUUAACUGCUGCACUGUUUUGGGCAUUCACUGACGUAGGUGAACUAGAUGCUUCAGUUAAAAGACCAUGAAUAUGAGUCUGAAUGAAAAAAACCCAACUGAAUGCUACGGAUGAGACUCAUUUACAAAAGAAAGAUACAGAAAGGCUGAAAUUUUAGAGGGAUAGAAAAAGACAUACAUGAAGUCAGUAACUAAAAGAAGCUGGUUUGGCAAUACAGCCAAUACCAGGCAAAAGAAGCAAAAAGCGAGACUGGGUA
rnacentral:lncRNA from 1 species